UGGGGAAUUUUGGACAAUGGGCGAAAGCCUGAUCCAGCAAUGCCGCGUGUGUGAAGAAGGCCUUCGGGUUGUAAAGCACUUUUGUCCGGAAAGAAAUCCUUGGCUCUAAUACAGUCGGGGGAUGACGGUACCGGAAGAAUAAGCACCGGCUAACUACGUGCCAGCAGCCGCGGUAAUACGUAGGGUGCAAGCGUUAAUCGGAAUUACUGGGCGUAAAGCGUGCGCAGGCGGUUUGCUAAGACCGAUGUGAAAUCCCCGGGCUCAACCUGGGAACUGCAUUGGUGACUGGCAGGCUAGAGUAUGGCAGAGGGGGGUAGAAUUCCACGUGUAGCAGUGAAAUGCGUAGAGAUGUGGAGGAAUACCGAUGGCGAAGGCAGCCCCCUGGGCCAAUACUGACGCUCAUGCACGAAAGCGUGGGGAGCAAACAGGAUUAGAUACCCUGGUAGUCCACGCCCUAAACGAUGUCAACUAGUUGUUGGGGAUUCAUUUCCUUAGUAACGUAGCUAACGCGUGAAGUUGACCGCCUGGGGAGUACGGUCGCAAGAUUAAAACUCAAAGGAAUUGACGGGG
rnacentral:rRNA from 1 species